UGGGGAAUAUUGCGCAAUGGGCGAAAGCCUGACGCAGCGACGCCGCGUGAGGGAUGAAGGUCUUCGGAUCGUAAACCUCUGCCAAGGGGGAAGAAAGGCGCGGGUGUGAAUAAUACCUGUGAUUGACGGUACCCCUAAAGGAAGCACCGGCUAACUCCGUGCCAGCAGCCGCGGUAAUACGGAGGGUGCGAGCGUUAAUCGGAUUCACUGGGCGUAAAGGGAGCGCAGGCGGAAUCGUGUGUCGGAUGUGAAACCCGGGGGCUCAACUCCCGGACUGCGUCUGAAACUGCGAUUCUAGGGACUCGGAGGGGCCAGUGGAAUUCUUGGUGGAGCAGUGAAAUGCGUAGAUAUCAAGAGGAACACCAACGGCGAAGGCAGCUGGCUGGACGAGAUCCGACGCUCAGGCUCGAAAGUAUGGGGAGCAAAAA
rnacentral:rRNA from 1 species